rnacentral:tRNA from 1 species
GCUUAAGUAUUUUAAUUUAAAAUCUUGUUUUGUGGGAUCAAUGAUAUGGAGUGUAUCCAUCUUAGGCC